GAUGAACGCUGGCGGCGUGCCUAAUACAUGCAAGUCGAGCGAACGGACGAGAAGCUUGCUUCACUGAUGUUAGCGGCGGACGGGUGAGUAACACGUGGAUAACCUACCUAUAAGACUGGGAUAACUUCGGGAAACCGGAGCUAAUACCGGAUAAUAUUUUGAACCGCAUGGUUCAAAAGUGAAAGACGGUCUUGCUGUCCCUUAUAGCUGGAUCCGCGCUGCAUUAGUUAGUUGGUAAGGUAACGGCUUACCAAGGCAACGAUGCAUAGCCGACCUGAGAGGGUGAUCGGCCACACUGGAACUGAGACACGGUCCAGACUCCUACAGGAGGCAGCAGUAGGGAAUCUUCCGCAAUGGGCGAAAGCCUGACGGAGCGACGCCGCGUGAGUGAUGAAGGGCUGCGGAUCGUAAAACUCUGUUAUUAGGGAAGAACAUAUGUGUAAGUAACUGUGCACAUCGUGACGGUACCUAAUCAGAAAGCCACGGCUAACUACGUG
rnacentral:rRNA from 1 species